rnacentral:rRNA from 1 species
CUACGGGGCGCAGCAGUGAGGAAUAUUGCACAAUGGGGGAAACCCUGAUGCAGCAACGCCGCGUGGAGGAUGACGCAUUUCGGUGUGUAAACUCCUUUUAUCAGAGAAGAAAAUGACGGUAUCUGAUGAAUAAGCUCCGGCUAACUCCGUGCCAGCAGCCGCGGUAAUACGGAGGGAGCAAGCGUUAUUCGGAAUCACUGGGCGUAAAGGACGCGUAGGCGGGUUUUUAAGUCAGGUGUGAAAUCCUAUGGCUCAACCAUAGAACUGCACUUGAAACUGGGGACCUAGAGUAUGGAAGGGGCAGGUGGAAUUAGUGGUGUAGGGGUAAAAGCCGUAGAUAUCACUAGGAAUACCGAAAGCGAAGGCGACCUGCUGGGACAUUACUGACGCUGAGGCGUGAAAGCGUGGGGAGCAAACAGGAUUAGAUACCCCAGUAGUC